CUCAUCUCUUCAUCCUGUUCCAAAUGUGUUUGUUGUGUUCUGAACCUUUUGUAAAUAGAUGUAGAAUUCUUUUGUGCUUUGCUGUCACGCAGGCGUCAUUUUUGCUGUUUUGGUGACACUUUGCGCUCAGCUCAGUGGGACAGUAGUUUGAUCGUUAACCCUUUCAUGCAUGAAUUAUUAGAACCUUUGUCGAGGUCUUUGCUUGGGUGUUUUUAUUCCUCAUUAGACAAGAAGAAACAAUGCAAUUGAGUUUUGUUUUUUUUUUCAUGGAUUUACAAAAAUGUCCAUUUGGCUACACCAUACACUUUAUUCUUGAAGCAUAAAAACAUAUAUUUAAAACCCAAUAUCAGAAAGUGAUAUGAAAACAAUUAAAUAAUAAAAACAUUUUUAAUGCA